GUUCCAUCGUGUUGCUCUACAUCAACCGUCGAAGCUAUGUGAAGGCGGAGAUCGAGCCAAUCAGGAGAGCCGAGGAGGAGUUCAGGAGGAUAGAGGAGGAGCGGGCCAACAGAGAAGUGGUGAACGUUACAACUCUGCCCAUCCCUGCUGA